UACGUAGGGUCCGAGCGUUGUCCGGAGUUACUGGGCGUAAAGCGCGCGCAGGCGGUCCGCGAGGUGUCACGUGAAAGCCCCGGGCUCAACUCGGGAGGGUCGUGGCAAACCGGCGGACUUGAGGCCGGUAGAGGUGGGUGGAACUCCUGGUGGAGUGGUGAAAUGCGCAGAUAUCAGGAGGAACACCAAUGGCGAAGGCAGCACUCUGGGACGGUACUGACGCUGAGACGCGAAAGCGUGGGGAGCAAACAGG
rnacentral:rRNA from 1 species